rnacentral:rRNA from 1 species
UAGUCCACGCCGUAAACGAUGGAUACUAGGUGUCCGGGAUAUUAACCUCCUGGGUACUACAGUUAACGCGUUAAGUAUCCCGCCCGGGGAGUACGGUCGCAAGAUUAAACUCAAAGGAAUAGACGGGGACCCGCACAAGUGGUGGAGCAUGUGGUUUAAUUCGAAGAUACGCGAAGAACCUUACCUAGCCUUGACAUAUUUAAGAACACUUUAGAGAUAGAGUGGUGCCUUCGGGAGCUUUUAUACAGGUGCUGCACGGCUGUCGUCAGCUCGUGUCGUGAGAUGUUGGGUUAAGUCCCGCAACGAGCGCAACCCUCGUCACUAGUUACUAACGGUUCGGCCGAGGACUCUAGUGAGACUGCCGGUGUUAAACCGGAGGAAGGCGGGGAUGACGUCAAGUCCUCAUGGCCCUUACGGGUAGGGCUACACACGUACUACAAUGGCAGAUACAAACCGUUUGCAAAGCCGCGAAGUUGAGCUAAUCGGUAAAACACUGUCCCAGUCCGGAUUGGAGUCUGCAACUCGACUCCAUGAAGAUGG